rnacentral:rRNA from 1 species
GGUUAAGCGACUAAGCGUACACGGUGGAUGCCCUGGCAGUCAGAGGCGAUGAAGGACGUGCUAAUCUGCGAUAAGCGUCGGUAAGGUGAUAUGAACCGUUAUAACCGGCGAUUUCCGAAUGGGGAAACCCAGUGUGAUUCGUCACACUAUCAUUAACUGAAUCCAUAGGUUAAUGAGGCGAACCGGGGGAACUGAAACAUCUAAGUACCCCGAGGAAAAGAAAUCAACCGAGAUUCCCCCAGUAGCGGCGAGCGAACGGGGAGCAGCCCAGAGCCUGAAUCAGUGUGUGUGUUAGUGGAAGCGUCUGGAAAGGCGCGCGAUACAGGGUGACAGCCCCGUACACAAAAAUGCACAUACUGUGAGCUCGAUGAGUAGGGCGGGACACGUGGUAUCCUGUCUGAAUAUGGGGGGACCAUCCUCCAAGGCUAAAUACUCCUGACUGACCGAUAGUGAACCAGUACCGUGAGGGAAAGGCGAAAAGAACCCCGGCGAGGGGAGUGAAAAAGAACCUGAAACCGUGUACGUACAAGCAGUGGGAGCACGCUUAGGCGUGUGACUGCGUACCUUUUGUAUAAUGGGUCAGCGACUUAUAUUCUGUAGCAAGGUUAACCGAAUAGGGGAGCCGAAGGGAAACCGAGUCUUAACUGGGCGUUAAGUUGCAGGGUAUAGACCCGAAACCCGGUGAUCUAGCCAUGGGCAGGUUGAAGGUUGGGUAACACUAACUGGAGGACCGAACCGACUAAUGUUGAAAAAUUAGCGGAUGACUUGUGGCUGGGGGUGAAAGGCCAAUCAAACCGGGAGAUAGCUGGUUCUCCCCGAAAGCUAUUUAGGUAGCGCCUCGUGAAUUCAUCUCCGGGGGUAGAGCACUGUUUCGGCAAGGGGGUCAUCCCGACUUACCAACCCGAUGCAAACUGCGAAUACCGGAGAAUGUUAUCACGGGAGACACACGGCGGGUGCUAACGUCCGUCGUGAAGAGGGAAACAACCCAGACCGCCAGCUAAGGUCCCAAAGUCAUGGUUAAGUGGGAAACGAUGUGGGAAGGCCCAGACAGCCAGGAUGUUGGCUUAGAAGCAGCCAUCAUUUAAAGAAAGCGUAAUAGCUCACUGGUCGAGUCGGCCUGCGCGGAAGAUGUAACGGGGCUAAACCAUGCACCGAAGCUGCGGCAGCGACACUGUGUGUUGUUGGGUAGGGGAGCGUUCUGUAAGCCUGCGAAGGUGUGCUGUGAGGCAUGCUGGAGGUAUCAGAAGUGCGAAUGCUGACAUAAGUAACGAUAAAGCGGGUGAAAAGCCCGCUCGCCGGAAGACCAAGGGUUCCUGUCCAACGUUAAUCGGGGCAGGGUGAGUCGACCCCUAAGGCGAGGCCGAAAGGCGUAGUCGAUGGGAAACAGGUUAAUAUUCCUGUACUUGGUGUUACUGCGAAGGGGGGACGGAGAAGGCUAUGUUGGCCGGGCGACGGUUGUCCCGGUUUAAGCGUGUAGGCUGGUUUUCCAGGCAAAUCCGGAAAAUCAAGGCUGAGGCGUGAUGACGAGGCACUACGGUGCUGAAGCAACAAAUGCCCUGCUUCCAGGAAAAGCCUCUAAGCAUCAGGUAACAUCAAAUCGUACCCCAAACCGACACAGGUGGUCAGGUAGAGAAUACCAAGGCGCUUGAGAGAACUCGGGUGAAGGAACUAGGCAAAAUGGUGCCGUAACUUCGGGAGAAGGCACGCUGAUAUGUAGGUGAAGUCCCUCGCGGAUGGAGCUGAAAUCAGUCGAAGAUACCAGCUGGCUGCAACUGUUUAUUAAAAACACAGCACUGUGCAAACACGAAAGUGGACGUAUACGGUGUGACGCCUGCCCGGUGCCGGAAGGUUAAUUGAUGGGGUCAGCGCAAGCGAAGCUCUUGAUCGAAGCCCCGGUAAACGGCGGCCGUAACUAUAACGGUCCUAAGGUAGCGAAAUUCCUUGUCGGGUAAGUUCCGACCUGCACGAAUGGCGUAAUGAUGGCCAGGCUGUCUCCACCCGAGACUCAGUGAAAUUGAACUCGCUGUGAAGAUGCAGUGUACCCGCGGCAAGACGGAAAGACCCCGUGAACCUUUACUAUAGCUUGACACUGAACAUUGAGCCUUGAUGUGUAGGAUAGGUGGGAGGCUUUGAAGUGUGGACGCCAGUCUGCAUGGAGCCGGCCUUGAAAUACCACCCUUUAAUGUUUGAUGUUCUAACGUUGACCCGUGAUCCGGGUUGCGGACAGUGUCUGGUGGGUAGUUUGACUGGGGCGGUCUCCUCCUAAAGAGUAACGGAGGAGCACGAAGGUUGGCUAAUCCUGGUCGGACAUCAGGAGGUUAGUGCAAUGGCAUAAGCCAGCUUGACUGCGAGCGUGACGGCGCGAGCAGGUGCGAAAGCAGGUCAUAGUGAUCCGGUGGUUCUGAAUGGAAGGGCCAUCGCUCAACGGAUAAAAGGUACUCCGGGGAUAACAGGCUGAUACCGCCCAAGAGUUCAUAUCGACGGCGGUGUUUGGCACCUCGAUGUCGGCUCAUCACAUCCUGGGGCUGAAGUAGGUCCCAAGGGUAUGGCUGUUCGCCAUUUAAAGUGGUACGCGAGCUGGGUUUAGAACGUCGUGAGACAGUUCGGUCCCUAUCUGCCGUGGGCGCUGGAGAACUGAGGGGGGCUGCUCCUAGUACGAGAGGACCGGAGUGGACGCAUCACUGGUGUUCGGGUUGUCAUGCCAAUGGCACUGCCCGGUAGCUAAAUGCGGAAGAGAUAAGUGCUGAAAGCAUCUAAGCACGAAACUUGCCCCGAGAUGAGUUCUCCCUGACUCCUUGAGAGUCCUGAAGGAACGUUGAAGACGACGACGUUGAUAGGCCGGGUGUGUAAGCGCAGCGAUGCGUUGAGCUAACCGGUACUAAUGAACCGUGAGGCUUAACCUU